AAUCCAUGGUGGGGGCAUAAUCUGAGCAUCCCCAUGAAUCUAUCCCAAGCUUCGUAUAAAUAUUCCCCCACAUUCUAUCUGAAGCUUGCUAUGAGAUUUCUCAGGUG